CCAAAAUGUAGAAACUAAGAAAACAAUCAUCAGCUUAGUUUGUCCGAAUCGGAUUGUAGUUUGGUCUGCUUUGUGCCUUACGCGUGUGGUUUCAUAAAUGCGUUCGAUUAGGGUUUCCAUAGUUGUCCUCAUGAACUCAACCUCGCCGUUCUUUUCAUAAUCUGGAUAAUUCAUGUUGCUCUUUUCAAUUGCUUAACCUUCCCUGUCGUUUUCUCUUCACCUCCCCUGUGGUUCAAUGUCUUUCUUUUAAUUCGGGAAUAAUUCUCAUAAAACCCAGUCACGAUGGUGCCUCUUCCGUUUCCUUCACUUGAAAUCUAUAUAUAUCAGCUGGUUGAAAGCAUGAUUGAUCCUCAGAAGUCAAUCGCUCUCGACUCGGUAGAUCUGCCCAGUUCUUUGAUUAUGUAAAAAGCGAAUGAUCUAAAUCUUUGAUUUAUUUUUGUUUUUCAUUUUCGAUUCUUAAGGCUUCUGUAAUGGCCAGCGACCGGAAAACGGAGAAAGAAGUCUCUGCCGAUUCAGCGACUUCUCUUCUCAGUGAAGAGGUUUCACCUUUUCUGGAUUGGCUAUGGCUCAGGAAGAAGAGCAGCUGCUCAAACUUCGGGAAGAUGAGGAGAAAGCUAAAUAUCUGUUUUUUUCCUUUUUCUUGGUUGGUUAAAGAACGUGAUUUUCUUAAUUGAGUUAGUGUGCUUUGCUCGAGUGGGGUAGAACGGGAGAAUCAAAAAGCCCAGCCUGAGAAUAAAUGAGGUCGGGACGCAAUAGAAAUUAAGUCUGCUACACAGUAUGAAGGCUAAGAAAGUUGUUACUGCUAAGAAGGUCAUGAAUCUGCCAACUCAUAUCAGACAGAGGAAGAAAGAGUCAUGAAAGAGCAGAGUGAAUUCAUAGGAAUCUACUCCUCCACGAUUUGAGAUUAGCUCUGUUCCUUUCAUCACCGCUGAACGCAGCGGUAGCUUCAAAAAAUUAAAGCUUUAACGACAACAACACAGAGCACAGAUGAAGCACGGCGGACUGAUUUUGCAGUCGUGCGGCAACAAACGGAGGAUAAAACAGACGCAGAAAAUAUCAGCGGCAUCGGCUUCUCAUUGCUUGUGUCUCUGGAAGUCCACCAGCGAUUGCCGCUGCAUCAAAUUACUCUUAUUUUUGUCUCGUUCACCGUACAUUAUUUUGCCGCUGCCGCUGGAUGUGGCGUCUAUGAAACGAACAGACCUAUCAUCAUAGAGAUAUGCGUUUGCACAUUGAGGAAAUGUCUUACUGGAGCUUCUUGCGUUGAGUGAGCGGAUUGGAACUGUAAACACUGGUUUGACAGAGGAAGAUGUCAAGAGCCAUCUGAAAACAAGAACAUGUUCUGUAAUAAACCUUGCAGAAGAAUCACCCUCGUCUCCGCAAACUAAAGAUAAAACUGAACCUUGCACCAUAUGUUAGGAAAACUUCAAGAAUGAAAAAAGAUUGCUACUUUGGAUUGUGGGCCUGAGUAUCAUGCUGAAUGCUUGGAGAAAUGGCUGAUUGUGAAAAACCUUUGCCCUAUCUGUAAAUCAGAAGCAUUGGCCAUGGAGAAGAGAAACGUAUAAUAGGAAGAAGAAUGACUUCUUUUAAUCUAAUGGGUUUAUUUAGAUAUAUUUAUAUAUAAAAAAGGAAACUUACAUGAAUAGAAGAAAACUGAGUUUUAUUUUCAGCUCCAAAAGGAUUCUGUAAAUUUGUACAUUUUUUGUUUGUUUGUGAAUAUAACAAUGUGUGAAUGGUCAAAAACUUUCUCUUGCA